UACGAAGGGGGCUAGCGUUGUUCGGAAUCACUGGGCGUAAAGGGCGCGUAGGCGGCUUUAUAAGUCGGGGGUGAAAGCCUGUGGCUCAACCACAGAAUUGCCUUCGAUACUGUAGAGCUUGAGACCGGAAGAGGUAAGUGGAACUGCGAGUGUAGAGGUGAAAUUCGUAGAUAUUCGCAAGAACACCAGUGGCGAAGGCGGCCAACUGGUCCGGUUCUGACGCUGAGGCGCGAAAGCGUGGGGAGCAAACAGG
rnacentral:rRNA from 1 species